UACGAAGGGGGCUAGCGUUGCUCGGAAUGACUGGGCGUAAAGGGCGCGUAGGCGGUUUGUCCAGUCAGGUGUGAAAUUCCCGGGCUCAACCUGGGGGCUGCACUUGAUACGUAUGGACUGGAGUGGGGAAGAGGGUCGUGGAAUUCCCAGUGUAGAGGUGAAAUUCGUAGAUAUUGGGAAGAACCCCGGUGGCGAAGGCGGCGACCUGGUCCUUGACUGACGCUGAGGCGCGAAAGCGUGGGGAGCAAACAGG
rnacentral:rRNA from 1 species